rnacentral:rRNA from 1 species
UUGAACGCUGGCGGCAGGCCUAACACAUGCAAGUCGAACGGUAACAGGAAACAGCUUGCUGUUUCGCUGACGAGUGGCGGACGGGUGAGUAAUGUCUGGGAAACUGCCUGAUGGAGGGGGAUAACUACUGGAAACGGUAGCUAAUACCGCAUAACGUCGCAAGACCAAAGAGGGGGACCUUCGGGCCUCUUGCCAUCGGAUGUGCCCAGAUGGGAUUAGCUUGUUGGUGGGGUAACGGCUCACCAAGGCGACGAUCCCUAGCUGGUCUGAGAGGAUGACCAGCCACACUGGAACUGAGACACGGUCCAGACUCCUACGGGAGGCAGCAGUGGGGAAUAUUGCACAAUGGGCGCAAGCCUGAUGCAGCCAUGCCGCGUGUAUGAAGAAGGCCUUCGGGUUGUAAAGUACUUUCAGCGGGGAGGAAGGGAGUAAAGUUAAUACCUUUGCUCAUUGACGUUACCCGCAGAAGAAGCACCGGCUAACUCCGUGCCAGCAGCCGCGGUAAUACGGAGGGUGCAAGCGUUAAUCGGAAUUACUGGGCGUAAAGCGCACGCAGGCGGUUUGUUAAGUCAGAUGUGAAAUCCCCGGGCUCAACCUGGGAACUGCAUCUGAUACUGGCAAGCUUGAGUCUCGUAGAGGGGGGUAGAAUUCCAGGUGUAGCGGUGAAAUGCGUAGAGAUCUGGAGGAAUACCGGUGGCGAAGGCGGCCCCCUGGACGAAGACUGACGCUCAGGUGCGAAAGCGUGGGGAGCAAACAGGAUUAGAUACCCUGGUAGUCCACGCCGUAAACGAUGUCGACUUGGAGGUUGUGCCCUUGAGGCGUGGCUUCCGGAGCUAACGCGUUAAGUCGACCGCCUGGGGAGUACGGCCGCAAGGUUAAAACUCAAAUGAAUUGACGGGGGCCCGCACAAGCGGUGGAGCAUGUGGUUUAAUUCGAUGCAACGCGAAGAACCUUACCUGGUCUUGACAUCCACGGAAGUUUUCAGAGAUGAGAAUGUGCCUUCGGGAACCGUGAGACAGGUGCUGCAUGGCUGUCGUCAGCUCGUGUUGUGAAAUGUUGGGUUAAGUCCCGCAACGAGCGCAACCCUUAUCCUUUGUUGCCAGCGGUCCGGCCGGGAACUCAAAGGAGACUGCCAGUGAUAAACUGGAGGAAGGUGGGGAUGACGUCAAGUCAUCAUGGCCCUUACGACCAGGGCUACACACGUGCUACAAUGGCGCAUACAAAGAGAAGCGACCUCGCGAGAGCAAGCGGAACUCAUAAAGUCUGUCGUAGUCCGGAUUGGAGUCUGCAACUCGACUCCAUGAAGUCGGAAUCGCUAGUAAUCGUAGAUCAGAAUGCUACGGUGAAUACGUUCCCGGGCCUUGUACACACCGCCCGUCACACCAUGGGAGUGGGUUGCAAAAGAAGUAGGUAGCUUAACCUUCGGGAGGGCGCUUACCACUUUGUGAUUCAUGACUGGGGUG